GUACGUACUGGGCAGGGGAGAUUCCAUGAUCUAGAAGGUGCUUUUCCCAGGUGAGGUUCAUUGUUGCACUUGGCUUGUGUUCACUCCCGAGAGUUCCCCAAAUUCAGGCAGCACAACUGCAUACUUUGUGUCAGUGGGGGAUUGUAUUAGUGUUCUCUCUGU